UGGGGAAUAUUGGACAAUGGGCGAAAGCCUGAUCCAGCCAUGCCGCGUGUGUGAAGAAGGUCUUCGGAUUGUAAAGCACUUUAAGUUGGGAGGAAGGGCAGUAACCUAAUACGUUUCUGUCUUGACGUUACCGACAGAAUAAGCACCGGCUAACUCUGUGCCAGCAGCCGCGGUAAUACAGAGGGUGCAAGCGUUAAUCGGAAUUACUGGGCGUAAAGCGCGCGUAGGUGGUUUGUUAAGUUGGAUGUGAAAUCCCCGGGCUCAACCUGGGAACUGCAUUCAAAAUUGACUGACUAGAGUAUGGUAGAGGGUGGUGGAAUUUCCUGUGUAGCGGUGAAAUGCGUAGAUAUAGGAAGGAACACCAGUGGCGAAGGCGACCACCUGGACUGAUACUGACACUGAGGUGCGAAAGCGUGGGGAGCAAACAGGAUUAGAUACCCACGUAGUCCCUGAGCGGGCUGGCAAGGCGCAU
rnacentral:rRNA from 1 species